rnacentral:rRNA from 1 species
UUGGAGGGCAAGUCUGGUGCCAGCAGCCGCGGUAAUUCCAGCUCCAAUAGCGUAUAUUAAAGUUGUUGCAGUUAAAAAGCUCGUAGUUGAAUUUCGGGAUCAAUGUUUCGGUCAUGCCGUUGGUAUGUACUGAUAUUAUUGAUUUCUCACCUUCUAAAGAACCGUAAUGCCAUUAAUUUGGUGUCACGGGGAAUUAGGACUGUUACCUUGAAAAAAUUAGAGUGUUUAAAGCAGGCUAACGCUUGAAUACAUUAGCAUGGAAUAAUGAAAUAGGACAUCCGAUUCUAUUUUGUUGGUUUCUAGGAUCGAUGUAAUGAUUAAUAGGGAUAGUUGGGGGCAUUAGUAUUCAAUUGUCAGAGGUGAAAUUCUUGGAUUUAUUGAAGACUAACUACCGCGAAAGCAUUUGCCAAGGAUGUUUUCAUUAACCAAGAACGAAAGUUAGGGGAUCGAAGACGAUCAGAUACCGUCGUAGUCUUAACCAUAAACCAUGCCGACUAGGGAUCGGAUGAUGUUAAUUUUUUAAUGACUCAUUCGGCGCCUUACGGGAAACCAAAGUGUUUGGGUUC